rnacentral:rRNA from 1 species
AGAGUUUGAAUCCUGGCUCAGGAUGAACGCUAGCGGCAGGCUUAACACAUGCAAGUCGAGGGGCAGCAUGUCCAGCAAUGGAUGAUGGCGACCGGCGGAAGGGUGCGUAACGCGUGAGCAACAUGCCCUAUACAGGGAGAUACACCAGGGAAACUUGGUCUAAUAUCCCAUAGCAUUCAUUGAAGGCAUCUUUAAUGAAUUAAAGCUUCGGUGGUAUAGGAUUGGCUCGCGUGACAUUAGCCAGAUGGUGAGGUAACGGCUCACCAUAGCAAUGAUGUCUAGGGGUUUUGAGAGGAAGGCCCCCCACACUGGGACUGAGACACGGCCCAGACUCCUACGGGAGGCAGCAGUGAGGAAUAUUGGACAAUGGAUGGAAAUCUGAUCCAGCCAUGCCGCGUGCAGGAAGACGGCCUUAUGGGUUGUAAACUGCUUUUAUACGGGAGCAGUAAGGGUUACGAGUAAUCCGAUGAGAGUACUGUAUGAAUAAGGAUCGGCUAACUCCGUGCCAGCAGCCGCGGUAAUACGGAGGAUCCGAGCGUUAUCCGGAAUUAUUGGGUUUAAAGGGUGCGUAGGCGGCCAUUUAAGUCAGCGGUGAAAUUUUGCAGCUUAACUGUAACAGUGCCGUUGAUACUGUUUGGCUAGGAUUUGGUUGUAGUGUGCGGAAUGUGUGGUGUAGCGGUGAAAUGCUUAGAUAUCACACAGAACACCGAUUGCGAAGGCAGCACACUAAGUCAUUAUUGACGCUGAGGCACGAAAGUGUGGGGAUCAAACAGGAUUAGAUACCCUGGUAGUCCACACUGUAAACGAUGAUAACUCGCUGUCGGCGAUACACAGUCGGGGCCAAGCGAAAGCAUUAAGU